GAUGAACGCUGGCGGCGUGCCUAAUACAUGCAAGUCGAACGGACAGACGAGGAGCUUACUCUUCUGACGUUAGCGACGGACGGGUGAGUAACAGGUGGAUAACCUUCCACUAAGACUGGGGUAACUUCGGGAAGCCGGAGUUACUAAUAGGUAAUAUAUUGAACGGCAUGGUUCAAUAGUGAAAGACGGUUUUGCUGUCACUUAUAGCUGGAUCCGCGUCGCAUUAGCUAGUUGGUAAGGUAACGGCUUACCAAGGCCACGAUGCGUAGCCGACCUGAGAGGGUGAUCGGCCACACUGGAAGUGAGAGACGGUCCAGACUCCUACGGGAGGCAGCAGUAGGGAAUCUUCCGCAAUGGGCGGAAGCUUGACGGAGCGACGCCGCGUGAGUGAAGAAGGUCUUCGGAUCGUAAAACUCUGUUAUUAGGGAAGAACAAUUGUGUAAGUAACUAUGCACGUCUUGACGGUACCUAAACAGAAAGCCACGGCUAACUACGUG
rnacentral:rRNA from 1 species